rnacentral:rRNA from 1 species
AGGACGAACGCUGGCGGCGUGCGUAACACAUGCAAGUCGAACGAGUGUAGCAAUACGCGAGUGGCGGACGGGUGAGGAACACGUGGCUACCAACCUGGCACUGGGGAAUACCCGUGAGAAAUCAUGGUUAAUACCGCAUACGCCCGCAAGGGGAAAGUCGCAAGACGGUGCGAGACGGGGCUGCGCCCGAUUAGCUAGUUGGUGGGGUAAUGGCCUACCAAGGCGUCGAUCGGUAACU